CUAGUUUAAGUUGUAAAAAAAGGGGCUAAGGUUCACCAAUGUUCCCAACUGAAAAGUUUUAUUAAAACACAUGUUUUAGACAUUUUCGAAAUGUUUUGAAAAAACAUUAAGUAAACUUAGUCCACUAAUGCGAAGUCACCGAAAAUUUUUUCCUUACCGAUUAGUUUAAAAAACUUUUAUUACAAAAGUCAUCAAUGCAGAUUCUUCUCUGACUUUGUAUUAAGUUCAGCCAAAUUUUGUUAUGUGAGAUCAUCCUUUAGGUUAUUUCAGCUUGUGAACCGCCAUACACUACAGCUUUCUGCCUCCACUAAACACUGCCAUGGAGGUGGGAAUGGAGGCCUUGGAGGGAAAGCAGAAGGCGUGGAUUUGGCUUCUGGUCUGAUUUUGCUUCAAGAUUCAGAGAUGUAUAGGUUUAUCACGCUCUUGCUAAACUGAAUGACUUCAACCCUUGGUGUCCCGUUUCCUUGUUUUUUCAUGUUCCUUGAAGUCUUGCCUUGCUGUCUUCACCCCUGAAGAAGCAGUCACUUCCUCCAUCAAGCGACUGGCUUCAGGAGAGAAACACACACCUUGGGUCGCCCUGAGAGGGACUGAGGCGUUCUCAGACCGUUUCUGUGGCCACGUGUGCUCCACACUUCUUGUUCCUUCUUGGGAGGGAAUUCUUAAGGUUGUCUGCCUUCUCUGGAUGCUGCAGAGCCAGGCCGGUGCGGGCAGCCUCCCUUUUGCUUUCUCCAGGUCCCAUUGAACGCUGAAGUUUGCAUGCUUUCUCUCCAUCCCGCUCACUAGCCAUCUGCGAAGACUCACCAACCUUGGGUGGGGGUCGGGUGCGCACCCACAGCACCGGCCAGGGGGUGGGGGUGUGGGGACUGAGAUGUGCGCAGCACUGGGGUGUCCGUGGGCCGUCUGGGGAGAUCCGCAGGCAAGCUGUCCCCAGCAGCUUGUGGGUGGGCUUCCUGAUGGAGUCCGCAAAGUGGCUGGUAGAAUGGUCCUUUCGAUGCCCUCCGAGAGCCCGGGCUGCCUUCUCCCAGCCCCCUCCGCCCCCCACCGGUCGUGCAGCACACCCGGCGUUCUGGAUGCGGGGAGAGAGAGAAGUGGGCAGGCUCCCCUACAGUUGGGGAAGCCAGACGCUCACGCCCACGCCCUCACCUCCCCCUUGGGGAGAAAUCGCUGUGUGCUGGAAUUUCGCGGGUGUCUGGGAUUCCCACAAAGGUGCUCUUAUCCGCGGAUGAUGUUCAACAUCAGUGUUCGUUGGGUGUGCCCACAACACCAGGCUGCCUUUAUGGAGAAAAAGCGUGGAUUCUUCUGCGCCUUGGUACAACUUGACAGACCUAGCAGUCUGUCUCUGAGGAACUUAAAUGAGACACGGACAAUGUAAAUGAGGUCCCAGGCGUAAAGUGGAGUAUUCCAGAGACUACAUGAUGGAUGACAUUGCAACAGAUUGAACGCAGAAGCGCGUAUGAGAAUAUAGCCAUCUUCUCUCAAUCCAUACAUUAAAGAGACUCUCAAAAAUGUACAACACUAUCACAAUUCUCACUAAUUUUUUGUUUUGGAAAAUACAGUGACUUUUUGUUAAAAAUAGAUUAUCUAUAGUAG
rnacentral:lncRNA from 1 species